rnacentral:rRNA from 1 species
UACGGGGGGGGCAAGCGUUGUUCGGAAUUACUGGGCGUAAAGGGCUCGUAGGUGGCCAACUAAGUCAGACGUGAAAUCCCUCGGCUUAACCGGGGAACUGCGUCUGAUACUGGAUGGCUUGAGUUCGGGAGAGGGAUGCGGAAUUCCAGGUGUAGCGGUGAAAUGCGUAGAUAUCUGGAGGAACACCGGUGGCGAAGGCGGCAUCCUGGACCGAGAUUGACACUGAUGAGCGAAAGCCAGGGGAGCAAACAGG